rnacentral:tmRNA from 1 species
GGGGCUGAAUUUAAGCUCGACGGUUGAACUUUAACAAGCUCGCGGGGCAGGUCGGAGCGCACUGAACGUUAUUCGGUGUAACGGCUUUUAAACGCCAAAGAAAAAUUUGCCGCAUUAGCCAACAGCCUUUUUGGCCGCUUGGCUCCUGUAGCAGCUGUAGCUUAAUUUUUUAAGCUACCCAUCGGCGCCUCGACUUCAGAUAAAGGUUUUCCGGUGUCAUAUCAUCUGGAUGCUUUGAACCAGAGUGGUCCGCCCUAGUUCAACUAAGAUUAACGGACUUUAGUUUGGCUUGCUUUUGAUCGUUUAUAUAAGCCUGGCUUAAGAAAUUUCAAACGAUAUAAACCUGUAGUUACCCGAGCAAGUUAUCAAUCGGACGCGGGGGCAGUGCCCGCCAGCUCCACCA